rnacentral:rRNA from 1 species
AAUCAACGCUGGCGGCGUGCCUAACACAUGCAAGUCGCGCGCGAAAGGGGGGCAACUCCCGAGUAAAGCGGCGAACGGGUGAGUAACACGUGGGUAAUCUACCUUCGAGUGGGGAACAACACCGGGAAACUGGUGCUAAUUCCGCAUGACAUCGUCGGGGCUUCGGUUCUGACGCUCAAAGCUGGGGAUCGCAAGACCUAGCGCUUGAAGAUGAGCCCGCGUCCGAUUAGCUAGUGGCGGGGUAAGUGGCCCACCAAGGCUUCGAUCGGUAGCCGGCCUGAGAGGGCGGACGGCCACACUGGAACUGAGACACGGUCCAGACUCCUACGGG